GUACCUGAGGGCCAGCUGCCUCCCUCCACCUCCACCCCCGGCUCCGCAGGGCCCCGCCGGUCCGGCCCUUCCCUUCCCGGGAUCCCGAUCCCAGGAAGCAGCGCCGCCGCAGACCCCCGGCCCUUUCCCGCCGCCCGCCAUUUCCUGCCCUCAGGCGUCCGCGCCAUUUCCCCGCCUCCUGACACCGCUCCCCUCGCUGCCCUCGGGAGAGACCCCCGGCACCCGGGAGCCUCCAAACCUCGGACAGCUCCGGCCCCGGGCGGCGUCGACCAGCCCCCGCUCCCCACUGGCACCUCCAGGCCGUCCCGACCCCCCCCCCCCCCGCCCCGCAUCCCAGGAGCUACAGCUGCUCCCCCUUCCCGCCUUCAGGAGUAACUUACAGACAGGCGUAGUUCCAAGUUCCUCCAUCUGUGUGCCUUUGACCUGAUUGUCCUGUAUGAGAUCCUGGUGCAUCUGUUCCACAGUUACCUGUGCAGGAUCCACCUGUACCUGAAUUACUGGCUUGUUUAGGCUCCUUUCAAGGUAGAAUUGUAGAAAACAUCUUCUGUUUAAGAAUAUUUGCAUCCCACGCCUGAACAACAAGAUACCAUCAUAGUCCGGAACAUUGGAGAAGCUCCAAAGACAAUAUGUGCCAUGAAGAAGAGGAAGAUGAGGAAGAAAGGGGUCUCAGGACCCCUGACUCAAUUUCUGGAGAGGCAUGCUGGGGGCAGAUUUGGGGAGGAACUGGGGGGCAGAUAGUUCUGGGAUUGGAUGGACAAUACUAUAAAAUUGUAGAACCACUGGACACGGUGCACGUGCCUCUUUUCUGUACUCCCAUGGUCAGAGGGCCUUCCUUAAAGACCCGCUCUAUUAUCUUAUCUUUAUUAAAUUUGCGUGGAGUUUUUUUGGCUCCCGAUCUUUAGGCAACACCAGCAUAAGCUGGAAUUACUUUCCAGAUAAAGUCAGUAUGUGUGGUACCAAAGAGAAUAAUAAUAAAAUAAAAAAUAAAAUAUUAUUUUGUAUUUUGAACUUUAGUGAAGCGUGGUCAGAAGUGGAAAAGGCCUAGGUCAGUGCAUCGAGAACCUUGAAAAGGAAGCAGAAAGACCAGUAAAAGGCAGCCUUCCUGUAAGAAUCUCUCUGAUUAUAAGUAUUAUGAGGCUCCACAUCAGUAAUUCCACAUUUUAAAUGGAGCUACUUAGACAUAAGAAUUUACCUGCAUAUUGUGUUUGAAUGUGAUCUUUAUUUUACUGAGGUAGCUCUUGGAGACAUAAGGCCACUCUCCUUGCCUUUCUUGUUCAGUUCCCCCACUCCCUCGAAGGAGGGAGGUAUCUAGCCUGGGACUCUGCUACUUCCAUUACCCACCUGACAUUCGUAGAGCUUCUUUCUUCCCUUUUUGGCUCCAGCUCCAGACUGACAGGCUGUCAGGUGACAUUUGAGUGUGCUAUUCCUAGCAAAACGUUCAUGGCAGUUUGGACAUUCAAAUGGUUUUUCACCUGUUAAAACAAACACAGGAUUUGUAAAUGUAUAAAACCACCCAGUCUUCUGUCAGGUCUCUCUUCUUCCCCUUUCUUCCUCUUGUCUAGGUUGAUAAAUUCACUGUAAAGAUGUGGCCACCUGGAUUAUUCUAGAGAAGAAGAGAUGGAUAUGCCAUGUAAAAGGGCAAAAAACAAAUGUGGAGUCAUAACUCUCAUUUAGAAGAAAACCAAUGUAACAAUGACCAGUACCAUUUAAGGUACAUUUUGCUUUUGUGAAAAUAAAUUUA